GUCUACGGCCAUGCCACCCUGAACGUGCCCGAUCUCGUCUGAUCUGGGAAGCUAAGCAGGAUCAGGCCUGGUUAGUACUUGGAUGGGAGACCACCUAGAAAUACCAGGUGCUGUAGGCA
rnacentral:rRNA from 1 species